rnacentral:rRNA from 1 species
GAUGAACGCUGGCGGCGUUCCUAAUACAUGCAAGUCGAGCGAACGGACGAGAAGCUUGCUUCUCUGAUGUUAGCUGCGGACGGGUGAGUAACACGUGGAUAACCUACCUAUAAGACUUGGAUAACUUCGGGAAACCGGAGCUAAUACCGGCCAAUAUUUUGAACCGCAUGGUUCAAAAGUGAAAGACGGUCUUGCUGUCACUUAUAGAUGGAUCCGCGCUGCAUUAGCUAGUUGGUAAGGUAACGGCUUACCAAGGCAACGAUGCAUAGCCGACCUGAGAAGGUGAUCGGCCACACUGGAACUGGGACACGGUCCAGACUCCUACGGGAGGCAGAAGUAGCGAAUCUUACGCAAUGGGCGAAAGCCUGACGGAGCAACGCCGCGUGAGUGAUGAAGGUCUUCGGAUCGUAAACCUCUGUUACUAGGGAAGAACAUAUGUGUAAGUAACUGUGCACAGCUUGACGGUACCUAAUCAGAAAGCCACGGCUAACUACGUG